rnacentral:rRNA from 1 species
GACGAACGCUGGCGGCGUGCUUAACACAUGCAAGUCGAACGCGCCUGUCCUCUGGGUUUCUGGGGGGUGGGUGAGUGGCGAACGGGUGAGUAACACGUGAGUAACCUGCCCCCUUCUUCGGGAUAACGGUCUGAAAGGGCUGCUAAUACCGGGUAUUCACUGGUCUCCGCAUGGGGUCUGGUGGAAAGGUUUUUUUCUGGUGGGGGAUGGGCUCGCGGCCUAUCAGCUUGUUGGUGGGGUGAUGGCCCACCAAGGCUUUGACGGGUAGCCGGCCUGAGAGGGUGACCGGUCACAUUGGGACUGAGAUACGGCCCAGACUCCUACGGGAGGCAGCAGUGGGGAAUAUUGCACAAUGGGCGCAAGCCUGAUGCAGCGACGCCGCGUGAGGGAUGGAGGCCUUCGGGUUGUGAACCUCUUUCGCCCGUGGUCAAGCCGCGACGUGGGUCGUGGUGAGGGUAGUGGGUAAAGAAACGCCGGCUAACUACGU